GGAAUUUUGGACAAUGGGCGCAAGCCUGAUCCAGCCAUGCCGCGUGAGUGAAGAAGGCCUUCGGGUUGUAAAGCACUUUUGUACGGGAAGAAAUCUCUUGGGUUAAUACCCUGGGAGGAGGACGGUACCGUAAGAAUAAGCACCGGCUGACUUCGUGCCAGCAGCCGCGGUAAUACGAAGGGUGCAAGCGUUACUCGGAAUUACGGGGCGUAAAGCGUGCGUAGGUGGUUCGUUAAGUCUGCCGUGAAAGCCCCGGGCUCAACCUGGGAAUUGCGGUGGAUACUGGCGGACUAGAGUGCGGUAGAGGGUGGUGGAAUUCCCGGUGUAGCAGUGAAAUGCGUAGAGAUCGGGAGGAACAUCUGUGGCGAAGGCGGCCACCUGGACCAGCACUGACACUGAGGCACGAAAGCGUGGGGAGCAG
rnacentral:rRNA from 1 species